AUGGCGAAUGCAAGGAGCAAGUUCAUGCAACCAGAUGAAGACACGCCGUUUGGUCUUCAUUUGAAGGAAGUCACCAAGUACUUGAACAUAGGAAUACCAAGCAUCACCGGAACCUACAACGCCACAUUACCUGAAGAGGAGAGCUGGAAGAUUCAAGUUAUCAUUCCAGGAAGGAUGUUUAGUGCCAUGAGAUUGGUUUUCGAAGCACCAACUUGGAGUUUAGGGAAGAGCAUGGCCGCACAUAUCGCCAUGGGGCGCAUUGGAGAAGUCUACCACCAGGAGCUUAAGGAUACAAUUUACCAAAUUUGUGGACGUCGAGACGCACAAUGGGAGAUGAUCAAGACCAAGAAGGAUGGAUCAAUUGCAGCUUUCAUCCAGGAGCAGAACCAACAUAUCCGACGCCAGGAGAACCAGAUGUGCACGGACAAGGAAGAACUGAAGAAGGCAUUAACAAAGAUCAAGGAACUCCAAGAAGAACUCAAGGCUACACGCGAAGAUUACUUGGAGGAAAUCAACGCACUAGUAGGGAAGAUUGACGACCUGGAGAAUAAGAUUGGAGCAUUCGUGGGAAAUCCAGUGUCAAAAGCAGAAGUCGACGAAUGCACUUGUCCGGAUAACUACAUCAUCAUCGACGACACCGACUCGGAACCAAGUGAAGACGAAUGGAUUGAUGAAGCUGGAGCAGACAUCAUGGAGUCUUCAACGGAUCAGAAUUUCUAG
rnacentral:rRNA from 1 species